GAGGUAGAGGCGCGAAAUCUAACAGUCUUUAGUAGAGCUAGAGAGAGCUAUGAAGCUAUAGAGAAGGGGAUUUUGCCGAAGUUUGUAAUAUAUCUCAGUAUUACUUGCUGGGUCUACAGUUAAGAACUGUAGGACUGUCUUAAUAAG
rnacentral:ncRNA from 1 species